GACGAACGCUGGCGGCGUGCUUAACACAUGCAAGUCGUACGGUAAGGCCCUUUCGGGGGUACACGAGUGGCGAACGGGUGAGUAACACGUGAGUAACCUGCCCACAACUUUGGGAUAACGCUAGGAAACUGGUGCUAAUACUGGAUAUGUGCUCCUGCUGCAUGGUGGGGGUUGGUAAGCUCCGGCGGUUGUGGAUGGACUCGCGGCCUAUCAGCUUGUUGGUGGGGUAGUGGCCUACCAAGGCGGCGACGGGUAGCCGGCCUGAGAGGGUGACCGGCCACAUUGGGACUGAGAUACGGCCCAGACUCCGACGGGAGGCAGCAGUGGGGAAUAUUGCACAAGGGGCGCAAGCCUGAUGCAGCAACGCCGCGUGCGGUAUAACGGCCUUCGGGUUGUAAACCGCUUUCAGCAGGGACGAAUCUUUUUGUGACGGUACCUGCAGAAGAAGCACCGGCUAACUACGUG
rnacentral:rRNA from 1 species